UUGAAUCUAUUAAAAAAAUGGUUAAUUUCAUAUUGAUCCAUGUCAAAUGGUUAAUUUCGUACAGAUCCAGGUAAACAUGGUAAAUAAUAAAUAUAUAUAUUUCUAUAAAGUUCAAUUUUCGUAUAUUAUUUCUAUAAAAAUUUUCACAUUUUCUGUCACUCUAAUUUGUUAUUAUAAGAUAACUAUUUAUAUUUUUAAUUUUGUCAUCACAAAUAUAUCACUCCAAAAGUCAUAACAAUAUAAUAUAAAGAGAUAAAAAUAUCAAAAACUAAUCAAGGUUAACUAAAUUUUUCUAACAGAUUAUAACGAUAAGAAUAUAUUUAAAAAUAUCAGGACUUUUUCAGAAACAAUAUAUGAAAAUUGUAGAGAUAUAUUUGUCAUUUACUAUAUUUGAAAGAUCUUGUAUAAAAUUAACCCUUAAAAAAAGAAAAAAAUUUCUCUAUACCCUUAUAAAAUCAUCUAAUUUUAUAAAUACCUAUCUAAAAAUUAAAAUAUCAUAUAAACCCGCAAAUUUGAAAAACUUUCAAAAAUAACCCUACCAUCAAAUUUCUAUCUAAAUUAAAGUUAAUUAGUAUUUAAAUUCCAACUUUACCCCUCUUAUGUAUUUAAUGGUCAAUUAUUUUAUUUCAAAAAUAUCCUCUAUUAUAUUUCAAAAUAAUCAAAGUAAAAUUAAAUUGAUUUUAAUUUAAAAAAAUUAUUCAUUUCAAUUAAAAAUAAAUAUUUCUAUUUGGAAUAAAUUGCAGUUAAAUUAACAAUGAAGCAAAAUAAAAUUUAUUUAACUACAAUUUAUUCCAAAUAGAAAUAUUUAUUUUUAAUUAAAAUAAAAAAAAUCUAAAACUAAAAUCAUUUGAAUUUUACUACAGUUUUGGUCUAGAUAAAGUUUAGUUAAUUUUGAAAUAUAAUAGAGGGUAUUUAUGAAAUAAAACAAUUGACCAUUGAAUAAAAUUUGGCCAAUUUGCAUAAAAAAUCCACUAGUUUUGUGCUUUUGAAAAAGUGGGCCACCUUUUUCGAUUUUGUAGAUUCGGGCUAGAUUUUCAGCAAACUGACCAAAAUAUCCUUAUUAUUUUUUCUCUCUCCUCUUUUUUUUCCUCUCGUUCUUUUUAAGGGCAUUUUUUCUCUCUCCUCUUUUUUUUUCCUCUCGUUCUUUUUUUUCUCUCUACGAAAGCAGCGGAGGCAGAGACGGGAAAAGCCCGCCUCGCCUCUACCACGCACGCCCUCGCCCUCGCCCUCGCCCUCGCCCGUGCACCCCCCCCGCCCUUCUUGCCUCCGACCCUGCUGAGACCGCGCCACGAUCCUCCUUCUCCACUAGGGCACGACGACGUCGAAGCGCAGGCUCUUCUCCUCCACCGUGCAUCGGAACGUCGCGACAUCGUCGGAGGUGGCGAGAUCGCCUCCGACGACGUCGCGAUGGUUGCGAUAGAGAGCAAGGGAGAGAUGGUGACAAAAAAAUUAUAGAAAAAAAUAAGAAUAAUAAAAAAUAAAAAUAAAAAUUAUUUUUUUCUACAGAAAAGAUCAAAAAAUAUAGAAGAAGAAAGAAGAUGAUGAAAUUGCACUGUUAAAAUAAGAUUACACUGUUUUAAAAAAAAUUGCACUAUUUUAAUAAAAAUUGCACUAUUUGAUAUAGAAAUUAUACUCUUUUGGAAUAGAUUUUACACUCUUUAAACCAAAGUUGUACUAUUUAGGAGAAUUUUGCACUAUUUCUUUUCCUUUUUUUUUUUCUUUCUCUUCUUCGUCUUCCACCGCCGCCUCCCGCGGUUUCGGAAGCUGAACUUGCAGGUAAAGACGGGCUG
rnacentral:lncRNA from 1 species